rnacentral:rRNA from 1 species
GACGAACGCUGGCGGCGUGCUUAACACAUGCAAGUCGAACGGGCUUUAGUAAACAGCAGCCUCGGUGGAAGAUUACUAAUGCGAGUGGCGAACGGGUGAGUAACGCGUGAGCAACCUGCCUAUGACAGUGGGAUAGCCUCGGGAAACCGGGAUUAAUACCGCAUAAAAUCGUAGAAACACAUGUUUUAACGGUCAAAGAUUUAUCGGUCAUAGAUGGGCUCGCGUCUGAUUAGCUAGUUGGUGAGAUAACAGCCCACCAAGGCGACGAUCAGUAGCCGGUCUGAGAGGAUGAACGGCCACAUUGGAACUGAGACACGGUCCAAACUCCUACGGGAGGCAGCAGUGGGGAAUAUUGCACAAUGGGGGAAACCCUGAUGCAGCGACGCCGCGUGAACGAAGAAGGUAUUCGUAUCGUAAAGUUCUGUCCUAUGGGAAGAUAAUGACAGUACCAUAGAAGAAAGCUCCGGCUAAAUACGUG